GAUUUUGGUGCUACUCAAGCUCAACCAGGGUUUGGUGCUCCUCAAAACCAACCAGGGUUUGGUUCUCCUCAAGGCGUACAUGAGUUUGGUGCUCCACCAGGCAAGCCAGGGUUCGAUGCUCCUCAAGGCCAGCAAGAGUUUGAUGCAUCCCAAGACCGACAGGAGCUAGGAAAAAAAUAAGAUGCCAUUAAACAGAAAUUGAUCAGGGUCGCAGAUUUGAGUCUGCUAGGAAUGGGAAAAACUGAAAGGAGCUACAUAUCUUUUCAUAGUUUGGUGGAAAGAAAGCUUUGAGCAAUCAGAAAUUGAGGUCUACUCAAAAGCCAAGCCUGAAGCUAGCUUGACUAGAUCAGGCUUAGCUCUAAAUUUGUAUAUGUAUUUGUUUGUCUAUACUCAAGAGUACAUGUACAUGCAUGAAAUAAUAUAGGGGAUAGAAAGGCACAUUGAUGGAACAAUUUUGAAGUGAAAAAGAGAUACAAGAAGCUGAAAAAUGCAAACUAAAAUGCUUGUAACAAGUGGAUAUCUUUUAUUUGUCUCACUUUGUUUCUUUUUCUCACCAACUGGGCAUUAAGAUUCUCAUGUAUUCUAUAGUAAAUUAUUUAGUGAUCUCAA